GAGCCUUGGACGGGGAAGCAGAAAAGGCUUAGCAGCUACUAAUGGGUUCUAUUAGUAGUAGUAUUAGAAGCUGACAAUGACUGUUGGGCUUUUCCAAUGAAUACCAGAACACCAUUUCCUGCAGCCUGAAAAGAAGACAGUAUAAUUAUUUGGCAGCAAGAGACAGGAUCUCACUGUGUUGCUCAGACUGGUCUCGAACUCCUGGGCUUAAGGGAUUAUCCUGCCUCAAUCACAGUCUCCCAAGUAGCUGAGAUUACAAGUGCUCACCACCGUGCCAGCCAGUUCAGUUUUUGAGAUCUGUCCCCUUUCACGAAGGAUUUAAGGCUAAAGAUUUAAGUUGUGAAGAUGAUGAUGGAUUGACUCUAUGAAUGGCACAUUUUUUUAUGCCUCCCUUUUCCCUUGUCCUUGGGCAGUGUCCUCCGACUGACUCUGUGCUUGGCCCUGUGACUUGCUUUGGCCAAUGGUACAGCAGCAAACUUGAUGCAAACACAACUUGAAAAAGAAGAGGACAGCCAAGUCAUCCCAGCCAAGGCCACCCUGGACCAGCCAGCCUCUUGCCAAGCUGCCAGUGACCACAGAGUCCAAUUAACAACAGCCAGUCCUGGCCCAGGUUAGCAGACCCAUGAGAAAGAACAGGCUAUCAUUUAAAGCCAUGGGUUUAGGGGUGGUUUGUUGCACAGCAAUAAAUAACUAAUACAGAAACUUACAUUCUACAAAAAUGCUAUUAAUCAACAAGCAUAUUAAGAUGCAAUCUCAGCCUGGUGCAGUGGCUCACACCUGUAAACUCAGUACUUUGGGAGUCCAAGGCGGGUGGAUCACCUGAUGUCAGGAGUUCAAGACCAGCCUGGCCAACAUGGCGAAACCCUGUCUCUACUAAAAAUACAAAAAUUAGCUGCACAUGGUGGCGGCCA
rnacentral:lncRNA from 1 species